rfam:Mycobacterium neoaurum VKM Ac-1815D, complete genome.
UUGGUCACGGGCGUACAGUCGGUGUCACGACGGGUUCGGGAGUGACUGAUCCGAAAGAGCCGGGCAAGAGGUGAAAC